UUCUCCGUGGCGCAAUUGGCUAGCGCGUUCGACUGUUACAGAGACCCCCUCCUCACACCGAGAGGGACCAGCCUCUUCUGCAAUCGAGAGGUUGACAGUUCAAGCCUGUCCGGGGAAG